AAAAGCAAUCGACUUACAAGGGUGUGAAAAUGGGCUCGAUAUUAAAUCGAGAAAAAUAUGAUUUUUAUAAGUUUAAAAAUGGUUUUGAAUGAAUGAUGAAAUUAAAAUAAAAAAUAAAAAAAUAAAUUUGCAUUAUUAACAAAUGAAACUAUGAGUAUAAUAAAGGCAUAAACAUUAAAAGAAAUGAAAAUGCUAAAAGAAAAUAAAAUAGCUAAAAGAAAUAAAAUGCCAAAAAAAUGCCACACAUGAGUAUUGAACCCACCCC
rnacentral:lncRNA from 1 species